rnacentral:tRNA from 1 species
GCCGACGUAGCUCAGUUGGUUAGAGCACGGGACUCAUAAGCCCGGGGUCGGAGGUUCGAUCCCUCCCGUCGGCA